rnacentral:rRNA from 1 species
GAUGAACGCUGGCGGCGUGCCUAAUACAUGCAAGUCGAGCGAACGGACGAGAAGCUUGCUUCUCUGAUGUUAGCGGCGGACGGGUGAGUAACACGUGGAUAACCUACCUAUAAGACUGGGAUAACUUCGGAAAACCGGAGCUAAUACCGGAUAAUAUUUUGAACCGCAUGGUUCAAAAGUGAAAGACGGUCUUGCUGUCACUUAUAGAUGGAUCCGCGCUGCAUUAGCUAGUUGGUAAGGUAACGGCUUACCAAGGCAACGAUGCAUAGCCGACCUGAGAGGGUGAUCGGCCACACUGGAACUGAGACACGGUCCAGACUCCUACGGGAGGCAGCAGUAGGGAAUCUUCCGCAAAGGGCGAAAGCCUGACGGAGCAACGCCGCGUGAGUGAUGAAGGUCUUCGGAUCGUAAAACUCUGUUAUUAGGGAAGAACAUAUGUGUAAGUAACUGUGCACAUCUUGACGGUACCUAAUCAGAAAGCCACGGCUAACUACGUG